rnacentral:rRNA from 1 species
UACGAAGGGGGCGAGCGUUGUUCGGAUUUACUGGGCGUAAAGGGCGCGCAGGCGGUUUUGUAAGCCAGAUGUGAAAUCCCCGGGCUUAACCUGGGAAUGGCAUUUGGGACUGCAAGGCUUGAGUGCGGCAGAGGAGACUGGAAUUCCUGGUGUAGCAGUGAAAUGCGUAGAUAUCAGGAGGAACACCGAUGGCGAAGGCAGGUCUCUGGGCUGACACUGACGCUCAUGCACGAAAGCGUGGGGAGCAAACAGG